GGCCCAAAAUAAUAACAAUAAACAAGACCGCUCCAGCCCACCUUCCAAACAUCAUGACCCGGCCUAAUCAUCUUAAUCUCUUCUCCUAACCUAGCAAACAACAACAAACACACUUUUUGCUUCCAAAUCGCGAACAGUCGAAGCCAGCUCCCCCAAAAUCGACCUUGCGCUCAACCAAUAUCAGGAAAGACAUAACCCAAUUCUCACAACCAACAACCCGUAACCAACCCAUUUGUAGCCUCCAUCACAUGCCUCAUGCGAUAUUAUAGCAAGGAAGAACCUCGAAGCUUCUAGAAAAACAACCUAGGUGUCGUCUCCAAUGGUUCAAUUCUGCAAAUUUUACGAUAACUCAUACGGAUUCGUACAUAUUUGGUAAAUUUUCAUUGGUUAUUGGGUACAUUUUUGUUUUCCCCGCAUUUGAUUGGUCCACUGGUUUCAGAUUUGUGGAAGAAAAUAAAAAUUGGUUACGAUCCAGGGAUCCUAGGGGUUUUGAAUUUUGAAUUCCCUUUGAAAAAAUCCCUAAGAUACCCCCCAAUUUUCAUCUUCUAUAUAAGAACAGAUUAGGCCACAGCUUUAGGGGUUGGAUAUUUGAGGCUUUGGCUUGGGGGGGGGGGGGGGUCUUUUUUGAGAACUAGGAUUCAAAAAUCGUGGGUUAGAAAUUCUGAGGAGGUCUUUCUCUUCUUUCAGAGGUUAGGAUCAAAAAGUGGGGAGAUUGAAAAAUUUAUGAAAAUCAGCGGUUGGAAAAUUGAUAGGCAGAAAGAGGGGGGUUCGAAAUUUUCCUAGGAAAUUAGGUGGGAGAAAAUUUCUUUUGGGUCAAGAAGAAAGGGUUUUGGGAAAGAGCUAUUUGGUUUUCGGGAAAAUAGUUGUUUUUAUUUGGCAAAGAUAUAUGAAUGGUAGUCUUCUAGUCGAGGCUUUCGCAUCGAUAUAUAUUUUCUCGGUGGUGGUGAAGUCCAAAGGAGCUCAAAGUUCCGUUUUGCUGUCCCGAAGGAGAAAUCAUUUGAGACCUACACGGACUCUUCCCUUUGUGCAUAUUCAUCAUAGGCCACUGAAGCCUACUAUGUCGAUUGAGUCAAGCGUGAAAGAGAAUCCACUGGAUGGCAUACGGACGCGAGGAGUCAAAAGGACGGAAAUGGGUUAAAAUCCCAUCUUUGAAGCGGCAAAGGAAAUUUGAAAGUCUCAUUUUUUUAUUUACUUAUUCAUUAUUGCCUUCAUUUGUCUAUUUUUAUCCAUUCUAUUUACUUCUUUAUUCAUUCAUUCGGGCCACGAAGCCAAAAUUGUAUUUAAUACAAGUGGAGCAAGAUUCGAGCCAAAUGCUCGAAAACUAGAAUAGGACAGGUGAAAUGGGUCAAAGUCCCAAUUAGACUAGGACAGGUUUUGUUGGUUUGGGCCAAUGCCCCAAAUACCUUACUUCCUCCCCUUCUCUCUGU